AUGGUAGCUGAGUUGAUAUUCUCCUUUUUCUCCUCCAGCAAAUCCAUCUCAGUUCUGAAAAGAACGAGCCAAAAAGCCACUUUUCCAACUCGGAUCCCGAAGGUCAGUUUCAUCCCAAAGAGGACAGCUUUCCACUUUACCGCCAAUCAAGUUCUUCUUAGAGAAGGAGGCAAAGACAGCUGUCCUCGAUGCUGGGUAUCAGAAGACAUUGAGAGAUCUAGUGGUUUCUUGACUCAUGGACAUUUUCUGGUGGCCCAUGUCCCAGAACCAGAGCCUACGAGGAAGAUCAGGGCAUCCACAGUGCAGAAAGCAGAGAAAUGUCAAGGAACAGCAUGCACAGAAUUGUACAUAGGACCAGCCCAGAAAGGUAGAGGGAAAUUUGUGCGGUGGCUUCCAUGCUUCGAAGAUGCAAAGCUGUGACAUGGCAGGUGUUGCUCUUUAUACAAAGUGCAGAAAUAAACCCAUGCUUUUAUGGUGAAUUAAUCUAUAA
rnacentral:lncRNA from 1 species